UGCUGCGGCCCGGUCACUCUUUACUUCCUGAAUAAAGAAGAUGAAGGCGCCAUGUAUUGAUCCCGGGUUUCGAGAACUGUCACUGGGGGUUUGGUCGCAACACAAGACUGAUAAAAUGUUUUUUAAUUACCACGCUAUAAAUACAGCUCUCCCUUGGAGUGGCCCAUUCGCUCGCUGCAGCUUAUUUGAUUUCUGAUAAUGGAGACUGCUGACUUUGCUUACCUGUUUUUCGAUAAGUGGAGGUAACGUGACUCCUUGUCUAUAUAGCGAUGGGCAGCUCUCCUUGGAGAAUCUCUUUGACAAACUACUCUAUUGAUUCGGUACAAUUCGACACCGUUUGCAGCAUUAAUAGCAACUAGAUUCUUGCUCAGUGCUCUCACAGUGUAACAAUUAAGCAAACGUAGAAUUUUCUUUUAUCACAUGAAAAUCAAUGGAUCUCCAGUGCUUCAGGAGCUGAUCAUGGUGAAGGAUGAACUUGGAAGAUGGCUGAGGGCAGAGUUCAGAUAUAAUAAUGGGCUUGUUUGUGUGACCUGUUGUAUUGAAACAGAAGGUGCAUUGUUCAGUUGACACGAGGCGCCCCACGUAUGGCUGAUACAAUAGAUUGAUUUCUACUGGGAACUAAUUGGGUAGGUACCCUGAAAACACCCAUCCUUGGGACUGUUUUGCUGAGUGAAGAAAAUACUCUAAACAGAUACUUAUUUUUAUUAUUUCAAUUUAUAUGACUGCCCAUCUCAGAUGCAAGACGCUGGGUGGCUAACAAAAACGAUACAAAAAUACAGAACAAUAUAAAAAAAAUGCGCAAAUCCAGGCAGCAGCUGGGGUAAAAAAAACAAGAAGACAUCAGUGCAGCCAUUGCACCAGCUCUGCCACCCAUCCAGGUCCCCAAGCCCAGUGGCAAAGGCCUUGCAGAAAGCUAGUGGGGUCGGGACCAAUCUGAUCUCCGGGGGGGACGAUCUUCCAAAGGGCAGAUGCUCUCCUCCUGGGCCCCACCAGGUGACGGGGCCCAGAGCAGCCUCUCCUGCCCGGCCUGGUGGGUUGGGCAGACGCACGAAUCGGGGAGAGGCGACACGCUAGCAGCAUUCAAGUGCCUGAAGGGCUGGGGCUGUUCUCUUGUUCCAGCGUGAAGGACAUGGAGUGAGGGUUGCGAGCGAGAGAGAGGCCAAUUCCGGUUAGAUCUCUGGGACAAUUCCAAACGGUAAGAGGAAAAAACGAGUGAUGAAGACAGUGAGCUUUCCUUCAAGCAGAAGCCAAGGGGUUCUUUUUCAGGCAUGGCUUCGUUUGGACUCCAGCCCUGGCCAGGAGUUGGCACCUUCCUGCUGGAGGGCUCUGUCAGUCUAGAAGUUCCUCCUCUGACUUGUUCGUUGCGCCCCAGAAACAGGAGCCACCAUCGGAAGCCUGAUGUGUCCUUGACUCCCAAUUCCCAGGAAGUGUAAGACUGGAUUCCCUGUUUGCACUUAAGUCACGGUGAUGUGUGUGAGUUGCCACCACUGGUAGUAGUCCCGCAGGAGUGGUCAAGCAUGAUGACCAACAAGUGUGCUAAUUCAGAGAGGCCCUUCGAAAUCGUAUUUUUGGUACUUCGUUUCUUGAGAAGAAAUCUCAGCAAAACCCGUCGUCAUUCAUGAGUGAUGAAAGCGCUUUUCAAAUACUGGGAAACCUAAUACUGUAAGGUUUCAUUUCCACGAAGAAUAACAAAGAAGCUGGAUAAUUCAGUAUAGUCAGGCUCACCAUCAAUAACCUGCAUGAACAUUUGUAUAUUAUGGUAUUUAUUGUAAACUGUCUGGAGCCCUGGGAAAGGGUGGUAUACAAAGGUUUGUAAUAAAUGAAACGCAUCCUGCAUAAUUGGCAACUUGGAUUUCACUGUUUUGUUUACAUUAGCAUUUUAUGAUAUAAACAUAAUUAUGCUAUGUUUAUGAAAAGAAUAAACCAUCAUCCGCCAAUCAAAGUCCUGUUAAGUAUCUCUUGAGGGAUUGGAGCACAUGGCCUUUGAAUUGUAUGUUUCUGUCAUCUGUAAUAGACAAAUGCAUAAAAAAUUCAAUGGUGUAUGA